rnacentral:lncRNA from 1 species
GUGAAGGCAGAGCUGCGCGGCAGCCAGGCCAAGACCUGGUUCCUUGUAUAGGAAAGCUGGGUUGGAUGCAGGGCUGAGACGUGACAUCCUGGUCCUUUGGCCCUGUUGCAGAGCAACGACUUCCUGGUGGUGAACAAGCACUGGGACCUGCGCAUUGAUAGCAAGACCUGGCGUGAGACCCUGACCCUACAGAAGCAACUCCGACACCACUUCCCAGAGCUGGCUGACCCUGACACCUGCUAUGGGUUCAGGUUCUGCCACCAACUGGACUUCUCCACCAGCGGGGCGCUGUGCGUGGCCCUGAAUAAAGCAGCUGCGGGCAGCGCUUAUAAGUGCUUCAAGGAGCGACGAGUUACCAAAGCCUACCUGGCACU